UUCUCCUCCUGAAUCAUUGAGGGUGAGAGUGAGAAGGAUGAUGAUUGAAUCAGGGUUUCGUUCCGAUUUUGGUUCCAUUAAAACCAAGGGGCUUUUUGGUUUCUAUCCAAGUAUAUGUUGAUUUACAAUUAGAUUGUUGUUUUUUUUUGUUUUUUGUUUGUUUGCCAAUUUUUCUCUUCUUCAUCCUUAAUCCUCUCUUCAGAAUUCUAAAGAGAUAUGGACGAAGAAGAGGAAAACUGAAACGGGAGUUGUGGUGCACUAUCCAGGUUAUGCAUUGUCAGUUGUUCUUAUAAACACUCUCAGAGAAACUGAAAGAAUUCUAAAGGAAACGGGGAGAUCUGUGUCCAUUUCGAAUUUUCCCUUGGAAAUGUCAAACUGCACUGCAGCUUUCAAAGCUCAGUGAUGGUUACUUCCAACAAGAGAUUAAAAGAACCUCUUGAACCAGAUUUGCUGUCAUGUACAGAAAUGGGAGUUGUAAGAGAUGGAACUAUUUCUGGGCUUUCACCAGAUAACGAGGAAUGUGUGGUGCGCCAUCCAGGUUAUCCAUCAUCAGCUUCUCAGGCUGUUCAACCUCUCGGAGGAGCUGAAAGAAUUUUAAAGGAAAUUGAACGAUCUGUGUGCAUUUCGACUUUUUUACUUGGAAAAUUUCGAACUGAACUUCAGUCCUUCAAACUUAAUGAUGACUACUAGAACCAACAGGAGACCGGAAAAGCCUCUUGAACCAUCAUUUGGGGACUAUAUCUUCGUCAAAGUUAAAGGGAUGAAAAACUUGAAGCUGCAUCCUCCAAAAUAUUUGGCGGUGACAAAUCUAGGUCCCCAAAAUAGCUGUAUGAAACAAUAAGAGUUGCUGAAGAUGCUAAGAUGGUUGCUGGUGUGAGAACAUGAAAGCAUCAAGAGUACUUGUUCACUUGAACUGGAUCAUCGAAGUUGUGGACGCACCUCAUUUUUGGAACCACCAGCAUAAGGUCUGACUUGUAAUUAUAAUCUAUGUAGGCUAAGCAAAAGAAUAUUGGUAAACCCAUUUUACCAUGAAAGCAGGAACCUUAAUAACACCGAGGAUCAGAAGAUGGUAUAGAGCGUUCCAACUUGAAUGCUCCUUGUUUGUUGUUCUAUGAGGUUAUCAUCUUAUGCUUUAUUCCGAGUUGUUGCUGAGGUAAAACCAAGGGUAUUUUCGUCGGUCUUUUUUUUCUGGACAAGAAGGUUUCAACUUGUCAUCUUAUGCCUUAUUGUGAGGUAUUACAAAGCUGACAAGAAUUGCGCCAGAAACGAAGAACUUGUAUCCUCAAUUCUCAAAGCGAAGAAGAGAAAGGUGCAGAAGGAUGUGCCUAAUUUUUUGGUUCACCAGUUUCCAAUGUAAUUUAUCCAGUAAUAAUACUGAAAAUAAUAAAUAAAGAAAAUAACUAGGGUUAGUAGUAUUCAGCCUAUAGCAAAGGGAGGAAUGUGCACCUCGGAGGGUGCACGCACUCUCAAAGUUGUGUCAUUGGUUUAUAAAAUUUCAAUUUUAUUUUA